GUGUUUAUUGGAUGUGAGCGUGUGGGUGUGCAGGUGUGUGUUUAUUGGCUGUGAGCGUGUGGGUGUGCAGGUGUGUGUUUAUUGGAUGUGAGUGUGUGGGUGUGCAGGUGUGUGUUUAUUGGAUGUGAGUGUGUGGGUGUGCAGGUGUGUGUUUAUUGGAUGUGGGUGUGGCGGGUGUGCAGGUGUGUGUUUAUUGGAUGUGGGUGUGUGGGUGUGUAGGUGUGUGUUUAUUGGAUGUGAGCGUGUGGGUGUGCAGGUGUGUGUUUAUUGGAUGUGGGUGUGGUGGGUGUGCAGGUGUGUGUUUAUUGGAUGUGGGCGUGUGGGUGUGUAGGUGUGUGUUUAUUGGAUGUGAGCGUGUGGGUGUGCAGGUGUGUGUUUAUGUGCAUACAGGCCAAUGUGGGUGUGAAUGUGUGUAUAUGGGCCUGUGGGAGUUAGGGUAUGUGAGUGUUUGGUGACGGGGAGGUAACUCUGAACAUCACAUUAAUAUGACUCAUAACAAUACCCAAAGCCUUUCCAGUGGUCCAGGGUCCCUACACAGUCUGUGGCUGCCCCACUUCCCUUCUGACCUUAUGGUACCGCCUUCGCCUUCG
rnacentral:lncRNA from 10 species